UACGAAGGGGGCUAGCGUUGCUCGGAAUCACUGGGCGUAAAGGGUGCGUAGGCGGGUCUUUAAGUCAGGGGUGAAAUCCUGGAGCUCAACUCCAGAACUGCCUUUGAUACUGAAGAUCUCGAGUCCGGGAGAGGUGAGUGGAACUGCGAGUGUAGAGGUGAAAUUCGUAGAUAUUCGCAAGAACACCAGUGGCGAAGGCGGCUCACUGGCCCGGUACUGACGCUGAGGCACGAAAGCGUGGGGAGCGAACAGG
rnacentral:rRNA from 1 species